rnacentral:rRNA from 1 species
GGAUCCAGACUUUGAUUCUGGCUCAGGAUGAACGCUAGCUACAGGCUUAACACAUGCAAGUCGAGGGGAAACGACAUCGAAAGCUUGCUUUUGAUGGGCGUCGACCGGCGCACGGGUGAGUAACGCGUAUCCAACCUGCCCAUCACUUGGGAUAACCUUGCGAAAGUAAGACUAAUACCCAAUGACGUCUCUAGAAGACAUCUGAAAGAGAUUAAAGAUUUAUCGGUGAUGGAUGGGGAUGCGUCUGAUUAGCUUGUUGGCGGGGUAACGGCCCACCAAGGCAACGAUCAGUAGGGGUUCUGAGAGGAAGGUCCCCCACAUUGGAACCGAGACACGGUCCAAACUCCUACGGGAGGCAGCAGUGAGGAAUAUUGGUCAAUGGGCGAGAGCCUGAACCAGCCAAGUAGCGUGCAGGAUGACGGCCCUAUGGGUUGUAAACUGCUUUUAUAAGGGAAUAAAGUGAGUCUCGUGAGACUUUUUGCAUGUACCUUAUGAAUAAGGACCGGCUAAUUCCGUGCCAGCAGCCGCGGUAAUACGGAAGGUCCGGGCGUUAUCCGGAUCUAUCGGGUUUAAAGGGAGCGUAGGCCGGAGAUUAAGCGUGUUGUGAAAUGUAGACGCUCAACGUCUGCACUGCAGCGCGAACUGGUUUCCUUGAGUACGCACAAAGUGGGCGGAAUUCGUGGUGUAGCGGUGAAAUGCUUAGAUAUCACGAAGAACUCCGAUUGCGAAGGCAGCUCACUGGAGCGCAACUGACGCUGAAGCUCGAAAGUGCGGGUAUCGAACAGGAUUAGAUACCCUGGUAGUCCGCACGGUAAACGAUGGAUGCCCGCUGUUGGUCUGAAUAGGUCAGCGGCCAAGCGAAAGCAUUAAGCAUCCCACCUGGGGAGUACGCCGGCAACGGUGCAACUCAAAGGAAUUGACGG